UUUUUUUUUUGUGUACUUAAAAUGGCUAGUCGUCAGAUGUCUCUUAGUGUUCAUUGGGAUGGACAGUUAGUUACGGAUGGAAAUAGUCCCCGGUAUGUCGGCAAUCGAAAGAAAUUGAUCGCGAUUCAUUCAGAUACGACAUAUACGAAUUUUGAGAUGAGAAUGUAUCGUUUAGUAAAUUGUAAAAGAAAAGAAUGUCAUCUUAAAUUCACAAUUCGAUACCCUACGGGAGCGAAUGAAUAUAUUGCUCACGAUAUAGUAGAUGAUGAAUCAUUAGAGGGAUUAAUUGGAUUGUUUGAACAUUAUAGAUGUGUGUCGGUAUAUAUCGAGAAAGAUUUAUAUCCGUCAGAGACAUAAUUCAGUCGCAAGGCUAUUA
rnacentral:lncRNA from 1 species